GCAGGCUGCAACCCGCCUGCAUGAAGUCGGAAUUGCUAGUAAUCGCGGAUCAGCAUGCCGCGGUGAAUACGUUCCCGGGCCUUGUACACACCGCCCGUCACACCAUGGGAGCCGGUAAUACCCGAAGUCAGUAGUCCAACCUCGUGAGGACGCUGCCGAAGGUAGGAUUGGCGACUGGGGUGAAGUCGUAACAAGGUACC
rnacentral:rRNA from 1 species